rnacentral:rRNA from 1 species
CGCCUGUUUAACAAAAACAUGUCCUUUUGAAUAUAUUUAAGGUCUAACCUGCCCAAUGAGGAUUUAAAUGGCCGCAGUAUUUUGACUGUGCAAAGGUAGCAUAAUUAUUAGUUUUUUAAUUGAAAGCUUGUAUGAAGGGUUGGACGAGAUAAAAUCUGUCUCUAUUUAAUUUAAUGUAGAAUUUAACUUUUAAGUCAAAAGGCUUAAAUGCUUAUAAAAGACGAGAAGACCCUAUAGAUCUUUAUUUAGUAAAAAUUCUAAUUAUUUAGGAUUACUUUAGUUUAGAGUUUUUAUUAAAUUUUAUUGGGGUAAUAUAAAGAUUAAUUAAAUUCUUUUUAUUAAUUACAUUGAUUUAUGAAUUUGUGAUCCAGUAUUAUUGAUUAUAAGAUUAAGUUACCUUAGGGAUAACAGCGUAAUUUUUUUGGAGAGCUCAUAUCGAUAAAAAAGUUUGCGA